GUUUUUAGAUAUGGAAUUAUGGAAUAGUUUAAAAUACUUUUGAAAUGCUCCAGUGUUUUGUUUUAGAACUCCAUGAUGCUUGAUUUGAAAUUUGAGUAUUGAGAUUUUACAAAUUGAGAGAAAAAGUUUGAAGUUAAGUUUUCUUUCUUAAAGUAAGAAAACAUAAGUACUUUUCAGAUUUUGAAUAUUUUAAUUAUGGCUCUGUUAUGCUGUUAAAAUGAUGUUAGUCAAAUCAUUCUAAGGCCACUUUCCUUGUGUUGUUUUCCUUAAAAAUAUACUCUUAUUUGCUGUUUUGGUCUAGAUGCCUGAUUCUAGAUUUUUCUAAAUCAGGGGUUCUUAAAAGAAGGUGCAUAUCGAUGAAAUUGUUCAAAGUUUUAAUAUAUUUUGAUUAUGUUUUAUAACUAGAGAGGGAAAGGGGUAAUAGCUGUCAUAAGAUACUGAAGCGUAUUCCUUGAACUGCAAAGGUGAAAAAUCAAUACUGCAGUUUAUAAAAUCAUUGAAAGUAUUUUGAGUUUUGUAUUAUAGGUUUUGUAUUCUGUUCCACUGUCUGUCAUACUGUGUUGUAGAUGUUUAAUAUUGAAUGCAUGAAUUGGUUGUUCUUUCUCAGGUUCUGAGCAACUCAUUCUUCUUAAUUCCUUAUAGCUUUUUUUUGCACUGUUUUUUCUUUAACUAUGUUUCAGUUUUGUUUUCUUUUAAACAGAGGCUUUUAUGUCUGUAAAAGUUCCAAAAACAAGUUGACAUUUUUUCUAUUUUCAUCCUUCAUAAUUCUAAUUUACAUGUAUGAUAUAUUUAAGCUUAUUUAUUCAGAAAGUGUUUGUUAAAUGAACUAGUGGAAUAAAGAUUAUCAAGAGAGCUUAACCAUCUAAGAAAUUUAAAAUAACAAGCUUUUAAAACUAUUUUAUUGUGUGUAUAAAUGAUUAUGAUGGGUUUUUUGUAACUUGGAUACUUUAG
rnacentral:lncRNA from 1 species